AUACGGAAGGUCCGGGCGUUAUCCGGAUUUAUUGGGUUUAAAGGGAGCGCAGGCGGAGAUGCAAGCGUGACGUCAAAUUUCGGGGCUCAACCCCGUCUCGCGUCGCGAACUGCGUCCCUUGGUUGCGGGAAGGGGAGGCGGAACUCGUGGUGUCGCGGGGAAAUGCAUAGAUAUCACGAAGAACCCCGAUUGCGAAGGCAGCUGUCUGGGGUGCCACUGACGCUGAGGCUCGAAAGUGCGGGUAUCAAACAGGAUUAGAUACCCUGGUAGUCCGCACAGUAAACGAUGGACACUCGUGGUCGGCGACACACUGCCGGUCACCAAGCGAAAGCGAUAAGUGUCCCACCUGGGGAGUACGCCGGCAACGGUGAAACUCAAAUGAAUUGACGGGG
rnacentral:rRNA from 1 species